rnacentral:rRNA from 1 species
UACGUAGGGGGCAAGCGUUGUCCGGAUUCAUUGGGCGUAAAGAGCUCGUAGGCGGUUCGGUAAGUCGGGUGUGAAAUCUCCGUGCUCAACACGGAGCGGCCACCUGAUACUGCCGUGACUCGAGUCCGGUAGGGGAGUGUGGAAUUCCCGGUGUAGCGGUGAAAUGCGUAGAUAUCCGAAGGAACAUCAGUGGCGAAAGCGGCUUCCUGGACCAGAACUGACGAUCAGGCACGAAAGCGUGGGGAGCAAACAGG